UAACGGAAAAUUUUAAAGGAAAGCAGGGUGAAAUUCCCUCACUGUACCGCAACGGUUAAAGUCCGAGCGCUUUAUUGUUUUCCACCCUCCGUAUUGAUAAA
rnacentral:ncRNA from 23 species